GGGGCACUUUCUGGAAAUCUGUAUUUUCAAAAUUACUUUGAAUUUUGUAUUGAAACUUCAAAAACUCAAAACUCCAAAGUUGUACAUAUUGACAAGAUCUACAACUUUGCUUUUGAACUCAACCCCAAAUUUUGCUUAGUUUUAAAAUUGUGUGAAAGGGGGCAAAAUCUAGGGUUUCAAAAAUCAGGGUUUUCCCCCCCUAGUCUGUCGGAAAAUUCCCACCCUAGGGUUUUAGCAACCAAGCCAAGCAUUACUGCACAACAUAAACACACUUUAAUUCCCCAAGCACAACUAAUCAAAAUAAACUUGUUUUAGGUUGAUGCAUCAGGGUGUGAUUACCAAACAUGCCAUGCAAUGCUUAUGAUGACAUGAUCCGAUUUUAGUAACCGUAACAUCGGAGAUGUUACAAGUACUGAAAAUCAUGUGGUUUGAUGUGCUCAAAAGAUAUAAUGUUGCUGGUAUAUAGAUCCCCAAGAAUCUGAAUAUGUAAACUAAAUUUUUUUAGUAAGCAAACAGCAAUACAACCCCUUUCCUCUUCUACUUUUUUGUUCUUUCUCUUUUCUUUUCUCUAAAUUUUUUUCUCUAAUUUUUUUGAACUCUUUUUUUUAUACUAACAGGGGUGCGGAUAACAAAUGAAAACACAACACAAUAUAUGUAAAGAGGGUGACUAUCAACUUGAUGAACACAAAAAAACACAAGAUAACAGUACCAUCAAAUGGCUUUAGGAUUCUUUUUUUAUGGCUUUUUCAGUGGACUAUAGGUGAUGAACAAAUCAGUAACAAAUAAUAGAUAUACUUAAGAUAAAUAUGUGGAUGACUGUGAGACCUACCGUGACAACGAAAGCUUUGAUACCAGUUGAUAGGUAUCGAUAUGAAUCGGUACGAGGGUGGCCAGAUCUUCAUGACAGUAAAUCAAAAGAAUAAGGAUAACUUGCUGCAAACAAUGGGUAACUAGCUUUAUACUUGACAAAGGUUGGAUGCGACCAAGCGACGGGGAGAGAGGCACCAAAACCGUGAAGCCUUCGACUCGAUCUCUGAACGACCGCAGAACUACAAUCCGGAACUAAUCCACACAAUACGGCGCAGCCGAACGGAAGCCAUAGAGCACGACAUAGGGGAACCCAUAGGAUUCACUUCACAAGUCCAAGAAGAACAAGGAAGAACAAAGGUUGAGUAAGGCACUCAGUAGCACGGCUGCAAUAUCAUGUAGUUUAUCAAAUGAUCAAAGGUUGUUAAUAGCUUAUAGAUAAGGAAUAUUUAUAUAAGGAACAACCCUCCUAGAUAGGUAUGAAAACGAAAUAGAGUUUUUGAGGGAAGGCAAUGUGAAAGGUGCCCUCGGAAUAGAUUCUCGAACUGGCUUCGUGUGACUGUUGGCCUCG
rnacentral:lncRNA from 1 species